GUUAGUUUGGUCUGUGUUAGGGUCAGUUUGGUCUGUGUGAGGGUCAGUUUGGUCUGUUGUGGGGGUCAGUUUGGUCUAUUGUGAGGGUCAGUUUGGUCUGUUGUGAGGGUCAGUUUGGUCUGUUGUGAGGGUCAGUUUGGUCUGUUGUGAGGGUCAGUUUGGUCUGUUGUGAGGGUCAGUUUGGUCUGUUGAGAAGGUCAUUUGUGAUGGUUAGUUUGGUCUGUUGUGAGGGUUAGUUUGGUCAGUUGUGAGGGUCAGUUUGGUCUGUUGAGAAGGUCAUUUGUGAUGGUUAGUUUGGUCUGUUGUGAAGGUAAGUUUGGUCUGUUGCGAGGGUCAGUUUGGUCUGUUGUGAGGGUCAGUUUGGUCUGUUGUGAGGGUCAGUUUGGUCUGUUGUGAGGGUCAGUUUGGUCUGUUGUGAGGGUCAGUUUGGUCUGUUGUGAGGGUCAGUUGUGACAGUUAGUUUGGUCAGUUGUGAGGGUUAGUUUGGUCAGUUGUGAGGGUUAGUUUGGUCUGUUGUGAGGGUCAGUUUGGUCUGUUGAGAGGGUCAUUU
ensembl:lncRNA